AGAGUUUGAUCCUGGCUCAGAUUGAACGCUGGCGGCAUGCUUUACACAUGCAAGUCGAACGGCAGCGCGGGGCAACCUGGCGGCGAGUGGCGAACGGGUGAGUAAUAUGUCGGAACGUACCCAAGAGUGGGGGAUAACGUAGCGAAAGUUACGCUAAUACCGCAUACGAUCUACGGAUGAAAGUGGGGGAUCGCAAGACCUCAUGCUCCUGGAGCGGCCGAUAUCUGAUUAGCUAGUUGGUGAGGUAAAGGCUCACCAAGGCGACGAUCAGUAGCUGGUCUGAGAGGACGACCAGCCACACUGGAACUGAGACACGGUCCAGACUCCUACGGGAGGCAGCAGUGGGGAAUUUUGGACAAUGGGCGCAAGCCUGAUCCAGCAAUGCCGCGUGAGUGAAGAAGGCCUUCGGGUUGUAAAGCUCUUUUGUCAGGGAAGAAACGGUUGGGGCUAAUAUCCUCGGCUAAUGACGGUACCUGAAGAAUAAGCACCGGCUAACUACGUGCCAGCAGCCGCGGUAAUACGUAGGGUGCAAGCGUUAAUCGGAAUUACUGGGCGUAAAGCGUGCGCAGGCGGUUUUGUAAGUCUGACGUGAAAGCCCCGGGCUCAACCUGGGAAUUGCGUUGGAGACUGCAAGGCUUGAAUCUGGCAGAGGGGGGUAGAAUUCCACGUGUAGCAGUGAAAUGCGUAGAGAUGUGGAGGAACACCGAUGGCGAAGGCAGCCCCCUGGGUCAAGAUUGACGCUCAUGCACGAAAGCGUGGGGAGCAAACAGGAUUAGAUACCCUGGUAGUCCACGCCCUAAACGAUGUCUACUAGUUGUCGGGUCUUAAUUGACUUGGUAACGCAGCUAACGCGUGAAGUAGACCGCCUGGGGAGUACGGUCGCAAGAUUAAAACUCAAAGGAAUUGACGGGGACCCGCACAAGCGGUGGAUGACGUGGAUUAAUUCGAUGCAACGCGAAAAACCUUACCUACCCUUGACAUGUCAGGAACCUCCGAGAGAUCGGAGGGUGCCCGAAAGGAACC
rnacentral:rRNA from 1 species